rnacentral:lncRNA from 10 species
CAUGUUUCUACUCACCACCUUCUCCCUAUGAAGACUUAACGUCACUCUGCACGUCCAAAGGUAGCAGGAGCGGGGAGUUGUUGCUAUUGAGCCAGAUGUACCACUGACACCUAGGAUGGGGAAGGAGCAAGUGGUCAAACUUACCAACUGAUGUUCCACAACCUUCACACAUGGCCUCUACCUGAGACAACUCUCCAGAUGAAGAAGCUGAAGCCCACAGAAAAGUGACUUACUGGAUGUCACAUGGUUAGUGGGUUAGUUGGUAAUAAAAUAUACUCUGAGAUGCUCAGUCACAAAGCAACUGUUAACAAGAAACACAAGAACACCCCACCCAGCUCAGCACAAGGCACAAAUGUUAAGUGGGCCAAGGCUGUCACUGCAGUCUUUUGAGAGCCCUUCUUCCCAGGGAGCCCGCAAACUCACGGGAGAGCCGAGCACUCAGGCAGGUCUAUGAGCUGGAUCUUGAUUUUCGGUUCCACACUGUCUAACCUCUCAGUGAUAUUGUCAGGAGUAGAGAUCAGAACUGGAGGACAAGGAGAGUCAGCACCAAAGAACAGCAACCAUCUCUGCAGAAGUGUCUUACACUAAGAGAUACCCAGUGCCAUCCACAUGCCUACCAUUCAAAUGCUCGCUUGUAUAAAUCCUGAAGUCUAGAACACAAUUGAUAAAAGCUCUAAGCAAAUCUCCAGUUAUUUUGAAGGCAGAAGGGAAGAGGCUGGUCAAUAUGGAGUCCAGAAACACAGAUAUUUAAAAGUAAGAAUUUAUCUGACUUUAUCCAGUAUUGCCCAAAGAGAAAGAUGUUAUUUGGGAGAAAAAAAAGUAAUUAUUACAGAAGUGAAAUCAUUUUGGAGAAGGAACAAUUUGUCUAGCUUUUCCUUUACCUGCUGUGUUUUUCCUAUGCAUGUACCCAGUUAUCUAUAUGUUGAGUCAAUGUUCACCAGGAGGUACUAAUUAAGUUGUCCCUAGGAACCCUAAUCCCAGGGCACGAGAAGAGGAAAGUGUGGAUGGUGUGUGUGCAUGUGUGGGUGGUGUGUAUGGGGGAUGGGGGUUCUUCUAAGCAGGCAUGAGUAUUUCAGUCAUGGAAAGAUAGCUCCUUUAAUGUUAAUGAAUAA